GAUGAACGCUGGCGGCGUGCCUAAUACAUGCAAGUCGAGCGAACAGACGAGGAGCUUGCUCCUCUGACGUUAGCGGCGGACGGGUGAGUAACACGUGGAUAACCGACCUAUAAGACUGGGAUAACUUCGGGAAACCGGAGCUAAUACCGGAUAAUAUAUUGAACCGCAUGGUUCAAUAGUGAAAGACGGUUUUGCUGUCACUUAUAGAUGGAUCCGCGCCGCAUUAGCUAGUUGGUAAGGUAACGGCUUACCAAGGCAACGAUGCGUAGCCGACCUGAGAGGGUGAUCGGCCACACUGGAACUGAGACACGGUCCAGACUCCUACGGGAGGCAGCAGUAGGGAAUCUUGCGCAAUGGGCGAAAGCCUGACGGAGCAACGCCGCGUGAGUGAUGAAGGUCUUCGGAUCGUAAAACUCUGUUAGUAGGGAAGAACAAAUGUGUAAGUAACUAUGCACGUCUUGACGGUACCUAAUCAGAAAGCCACGGCUAACUACGUG
rnacentral:rRNA from 1 species